rnacentral:rRNA from 1 species
GUCGAGCGAAUGGAUUAAGAGCUUGCUCUUAUGAAGUUAGCGGCGGACGGGUGAGUAACACGUGGGUAACCUGCCCAUAAGACUGGGGAUAACUCCGGGAAACCGGGGCUAAUACCGGAUAACAUUUUGAACCGCAUGGUUCGAAAUUGAAAGGCGGCUUCGGCUGUCACUUAUGGAUGGACCCGCGUCGCAUUAGCUAGUUGGUGAGGUAACGGCUCACCAAGGCAACGAUGCGUAGCCGACCUGAGAGGGUGAUCGGCCACACUGGGACUGAGACACGGCCCAGACUCCUACGGGAGGCAGCAGUAGGGAAUCUUCCGCAAUGGACGAAAGUCUGACGGAGCAACGCCGCGUGAGUGAUGAAGGCUUUCGGGUCGUAAAACUCUGUUGUUAGGGAAGAACAAGUGCUAGUUGAAUAAGCUGGCACCUUGACGGUACCUAACCAGAAAGCCACGGCUAACUACGUGCCAGCAGCCGCGGUAAUACGUAGGUGGCAAGCGUUAUCCGGAAUUAUUGGGCGUAAAGCGCGCGCAGGUGGUUUCUUAAGUCUGAUGUGAAAGCCCACGGCUCAACCGUGGAGGGUCAUUGGAAA